UACGUAGGGUGCAAGCGUUAAUCGGAAUUACUGGGCGUAAAGCGUGCGCAGGCGGUUGUGCAAGACCGAUGUGAAAUCCCCGGGCUUAACCUGGGAAUGGCAUUGGUGACUGCACGGCUAGAGUGUGUCAGAGGGGGGUAGAAUUCCACGUGUAGCAGUGAAAUGCGUAGAGAUGCGGAGGAACACCGAUGGCGAAGGCAGCCCCCCUGGGCUAACACUGACGCUCAGGCACGAAAGCGUGGGGAGCAAACAGG
rnacentral:rRNA from 1 species